rnacentral:rRNA from 1 species
GGGUCAGUAGGUUGGUCGUGCCACCGGUACGUACUGGUCUCACUGAUUCCUCCUUCCUGAAGAACCGUAAUGCCAUUAACUUGGUGUUGCGGGGAAACAGGACUGUUACUUUGAAAAAAUUAGAGUAUUUAAAGCAAGCUAACGCUUGAAUACAUUAGCAUGGAAUAAUGAAAUAGGACGAUCGAUCCUAUUUUGUUGGUUUCUAGGAUUGACGUA